rnacentral:rRNA from 1 species
UACGUAGGGGGCAAGCGUUGUCCGGAAUUACUGGGCGUAAAGGGCGCGUAGGUGGCCUUUCAGUCAGACGUGAAAUCCCCAGGCUUAACCUGGGACUGCGUCUGAUACUGGAAGGCUUGAGUUCGGGAGAGGGAUGUGGAAUUCCAGGUGUAGCGGUGAAAUGCGUAGAUAUCUGGAGGAACACCGGUGGCGAAGGCGGCAGUCCUGGACCGAAACUGACACUGAGGCGCGAAAGCCAGGGAGCAACGGG